rnacentral:ribozyme from 13 species
UUUCCUUUUGGUUUUUUUUUUUUUUUUUUUUUUUUUCGUUUUUUUUUUUUAAUUUAAAAACUUUUUUU